GGAAGAGGUCCAGAACAACAUAAACUGCUAAUUUAUUAUACCUUGGUUAAACUCCAGGGCUCAUCCG
rnacentral:tRNA from 1 species